rnacentral:misc_RNA from 1 species
GGUUCUAGUUCACCAAGCUUGAUGAAUUUGAUUCGGCCUUAAAACUCUGUAUGCAGUAUACAAGUUUCUAUGAAUUAAACAGCACUAAAAUCCAAUAAACAGUCAAUACAAGGAACAAGUAAUCACCUUCUUGAGUAACCAAGAAAAAUUGGUUUUUAUAUUCUUGAGUUUCAUAGUUUCCUUUCCAUUCCAAUCUCACAGCAAUUACCUGGAAAGUUAAUCUUCA